AUUGAACGCUGGCGGCAGGCCUAACACAUGCAAGUCGAACGGUAACAGGAAGAAGCUUGCUUCUUUGCUGACGAGUGGUGGACGGGUGAGUAAUGUCUGGGAAACUGCCUGAUGGAGGGGGAUAACUACUGGAAACGGUAGCUAAUACCGCAUAACGUCGCAAGACCAAAAAGGGGGACCUUCGGGCCUCUUGCCAUCGGAUGUGCCCAGAUGGGAUUAGCUAGUAGGUGGGGUAACGGCUCACCUAGGCGACGAUCCCUAGCUGGUCUGAGAGGAUGACCAGCCACACUGGAACUGAGACACGGUCCAGACUCCUACGGGAGGCAGCAGUGGGGAAUAUUGCACAAUGGGCGCAAGCCUGAUGCAGCCAUGCCGCGUGUAUGAAGAAGGCCUUCGGGUUGUAAAGUACUUUCAGCGGGGAGGAAGGGAGUAAAGUUAAUACCUUUGCUCAUUGACGUUACCCGCAGAAGAAGCACCGGCUAACUCCGUG
rnacentral:rRNA from 1 species